rnacentral:sRNA from 1 species
UUAAGAAGACGAAGAAGAAGAAGAAAA